rnacentral:misc_RNA from 1 species
GAUGAAGAACGCAGCGAAAUGCGAUAAGUAGUGUGAAUUGCAGAAUUCAGUGAAUCAUCGAAUCUUUGAACGCACAUUGCGCCCUUUGGUAUUCCUUAGGGCAUGCCUGUUCGAGCGUCAUUUAAACCUUCAAGCUCAGCUUGGUGAUGGGUGACUGUCCCCCCCUCGCGGGGGGACUCGCCUCAAAAACAUUGGCGGCCGGUACAUUGGCUUCGAGCGCAGCAGAAACGCGGUCUCGAGCCCGGUGGAUCGGCUCCCAUAAGUCUAUUCUUUUAUUUUGACCUCGGAUCAGGUAGGGAUACCCGCUGAACUUAAGCAUAUCAAUAAGCGGAGGA